rnacentral:rRNA from 1 species
GACGAACGCUGGCGGCGUGCUUAACACAUGCAAGUCGAACGGAAAGGCCGUGCUUUUGUGGGGUGCUCGAGUGGCAAACGGGAGAGAAACAUGUGAGUAUCCUGCCCUUGAGUUGGGGAUAACUUGAGACAAGUGGGGCUAAUACAGGAUAGGUGCGCGAGAAACAUGGGGGGGGUUGGAAAGUUUCGGCGGUUGGGGAUGGACUGCCGGCUAAUCAGCUGGUUGGUGGGGUAGCUGCUUACGAAGGCUUUGACGGGUAGUCGGCCUGGGAGGGUGACCGGCCUCAUUGCUACUAAGGUACGGCCCAGACUCCUACGGGAGACAGCAGUGGAGAGUAUUGCACAGUGGUGCGAAGCCUGAUGCAGCAACCCCCCGUGCGGGAUGACGUCCUUCGGGGUGUAAACCGCUUUCGCCUGUGACGAAGCGUUAUUGACGGUAAUGGGUAAAGAAGCACCGGCUAACUACGUG